rnacentral:rRNA from 1 species
GACGAACGCUGGCGGCGUGCUUAACACAUGCAAGUCGAACGGAAAGGCCCUGCUUUUGUGGGGUGCUCGAGUGGCGAAAGGGUGAGUAACACGUGAGUCACCUGCCCUUGAGUUUGGGAUAACUUCAGGAAACCGGGGAUAAUACAGGAUAGGAGCUCCUGAUGCAGGGUGGGGGUUGGAAAGUUUGGGCGGUUGGGGAUGGACUCGCGGCUUAUCAGCUUGUUGGUGGGGUAGUGGCCUACCAAGGCUUUGGGGGGUAGCCGGCCUGGGAGGGUGACCGGCCACAUUGGGACUGAGAUACGGCCCAGACUCCUACGGGAGGCAGCAGUGGGGAAUAUUGCACAAUGGGCGGAAGCCUGAUGCAGCAACGCCGCGUGCGGGAUGACGGCCUUCGGGUUGUAAACCGCUUUCGCCUGUGACGAAGCGUGAGUGACGGUAAUGGGUAAAGAAGCACCGGCUAACUACGUG